GCCUAGACGUAAACAAUUUAUUUACAUUCUCUAACGCCCGGGUAUUACGAGCAAUGCUUAAAACCCAAAGGACUUGACGGUGUCCCACCCACCUAGAGGAGCCUGUUCUAUAAUCGAUAACCCCCGCUUUACCUAACCAUUCUUUGCCUAAUCAGUCUGUAUACCUCCGUCGGAAGCUUACCAUAUGAACGCCCAUAGUAAGCCCAAUGGUCACCCACCAACACGUCAGGUCAAGGUGCAACUUAUAGAGUGGAAAGAAAUGGGCUACAAUUUCUAGAAUAGAACAAACGAAAGGCUGCCUGAAACCCAGUCAUGAAGGAGGAUCUAGUAGUAAAAAGAGAAUAGAGAGCUCUUUUUAACCCGGCACUGGGACGCGUACACACCGCCCGUCACCCUCUUCAAUAGUUCUUUAUCUCGGUUACUAACAAAUUAGCCACGCCUU
rnacentral:rRNA from 1 species